rnacentral:rRNA from 1 species
UACGAGAGGUCCAAACGUUAUUCGGAAUUACUGGGCUUACAGAGUUCGUAGGCGGUUCGUCGCGUCGGCUGUGAAAACCCGGAGCUCAACUCCGGGCCUGCAGUCGAUACGGGCGGACUUGAGUGUUGCAGGGGAGACUGGAAUUCCUGGUGUAGCGGUGAAAUGCGCAGAUAUCAGGAGGAACACCGGUGGCGAAGGCGGGUCUCUGGGCAACUACUGACGCUGAGGAGCGAAAGCGUGGGGAGCGAACAGG